UGGCGGACGGGUGAGUAACGCGUGGGUAACCUGCCUUAUACUGGGGGAUAACAGCCAGAAAUGGCUGCUAAUACCGCAUAAGCGCACAGGGCCGCAUGGUCCGGUGUGAAAAACUCCGGUGGUAUAAGAUGGACCCGCGUUGGAUUAGCUAGUUGGCAGGGCAGCGGCCUACCAAGGCGACGAUCCAUAGCCGGCCUGAGAGGGUGAACGGCCACAUUGGGACUGAGACACGGCCCAGACUCCUACGGGAGGCAGCAGUGGGGAAUAUUGCACAAUGGGGGAAACCCUGAUGCAGCGACGCCGCGUGAAGGAAGAAGUAUCUCGGUAUGUAAACUUCUAUCAGCAGGGAAGAUAAUGACGGUACCUGACUAAGAAGCCCCGGCUAACUACGUGCCAGCAGCCGCGGUAAUACGUAGGGGGCAAGCGUUAUCCGGAUUUACUGGGUGUAAAGGGAGCGUAGACGGCGCAGCAAGUCUGAUGUGAAAGGCAGGGGCUUAACCCCUGGACUGCAUUGGAAACUGUUGAGCUUGAGUGCCGGAGGGGUAAGCGGAAUUCCUAGUGUAGCGGUGAAAUGCGUAGAUAUUAGGAGGACACCAGUGGCGAAGGCGGCUUACUGGACGGU
rnacentral:rRNA from 1 species